rnacentral:rRNA from 1 species
GUAGGGAAUCUUGCGCAAUGGGCGAAAGCCUGACGCAGCCAUGCCGCGUGAAUGAUGAAGGUCUUAGGAUUGUAAAAUUCUUUCACCGGGGACGAUAAUGACGGUACCCGGAGAAGAAGCCCCGGCUAACUUCGUGCCAGCAGCCGCGGUAAUACGAAGGGGGCUAGCGUUGCUCGGAAUUACUGGGCGUAAAGGGAGCGUAGGCGGAUAGUUUAGUCAGAGGUGAAAGCCCAGGGCUCAACCUUGGAAUUGCCUUUGAUACUGGCUAGCUUGGGUAUGGAAGAGGUAUGUGGAACUCCGAGUGUAGGGGGGAAAUUCGUAGAUAUUCGGAAGAACACCAGUGGCGAAGGCGACAUACUGGUCCAUUACUGACGCUGAGGCUCGAAAGCGUGGGGAGCAAACAGGAUUAGAAACCCGGGUAGUCC